AGAGCCAAAUCCUCUUAAAGCUUCUAACUUUAAUACAAGCGCACCCACACGUUGUGGCUCUG
rnacentral:tRNA from 1 species